GCCAGGUGUGGUGGCUCACGCCUGUAAUCCCAGCACUUUGGGAGGCCGAGGUGGGGGGAUCACCUGAGGUCAGGAGUUCAAGACCAGCCUGGCUAACAUGGUGAAACCCCAUCUCUA
rnacentral:sRNA from 1 species